AGCGCGGGGCAACCUGGCGGCGAGUGGCGAACGGGUGAGUAAUAUAUCGGAACGUACCCAAGAGUGGGGGAUAACGUAGCGAAAGUUACGCUAAUACCGCAUACGAUCUAAGGAUGAAAGCAGGGGAUCUUCGGACCUUGUGCUCCUGGAGCGGCCGAUAUCUGAUUAGCUAGUUGGUGAGGUAAAGGCUCACCAAGGCCACGAUCAGUAGCUGGUCUGAGAGGACGACCAGCCACACUGGAACUGAGACACGGUCCAGACUCCUACGGGAGGCAGCAGUGGGGAAUUUUGGACAAUGGGCGAAAGCCUGAUCCAGCAAUGCCGCGUGAGUGAAGAAGGCCUUCGGGUUGUAAAGCUCUUUUGUCAGGGAAGAAACGGUGGGGGCUAAUAUCCCUCACUAAUGACGGUACCUGAAGAAUAAGCACCGGCUAACUAUGUGCCAGCAGCCGCGGUGAUACGUAGGGUGCAAGCGUUAAUCGGAAUUACUGGGCGUAAAGCGUGCGCAGGCGGUUUUGUAAGUCUGACGUGAAAUCCCCGGGCUCAACCUGGGAAUUGCGUUGGAGACUGCAAGGCUAGAAUCUGGCAGAGGGGGGUAGAAUUCCACGUGUAGCAGUGAAAUGCGUAGAGAUGUGGAGGAACACCAAUGGCGAAGGCAGCCCCCUGGGUCAAGAUUGACGCUCAUGCACGAAAGCGUGGGGAGCAAACAGGAUUAGAUACCCUGGUAGUCCACGCCCUAAACGAUGUCUACUAGUUGUCGGGUUUUAAUUAACUUGGUAA
rnacentral:rRNA from 1 species